rnacentral:rRNA from 1 species
GAUGAACGCUAGCGGCAGGCCUAACACAUGCAAGUCGAGGGAGAAGCCCUUCGGGGCAGAAACCGGCGCACGGGUGCGUAACGCGUAUGCAACCUACCUUUCACAGGGGGAUAGCCCGGAGAAAUUUGGAUUAAUAUCCCAUAAUAUUGUUGGAUGGCAUCAUUUGGCAAUUAAAGUUACGAUGGUGGAAGAUGGGCAUGCGUCCUAUUAGCUAGUUGGCGAGGUAACGGCUCGCCAAGGCGACGAUAGGUAGGGGUCCUGAGAGGGAGAUCCCCCACACUGGUACUGAGACAGGGACCAGACUCCUACGGGAGGCAGCAGUGAGGAAUAUUGGUCAAUGGUCGGAAGACUGAACCAGCCAUGCCGCGUGCAGGAAGGCGGCCUUAUGGGUUGUAAACUGCUUUUAUAUGGGAAGAAUAAGGUGUACGUGUACAUUGAUGACGGUACCAUAUGAAUAAGCAUCGGCUAACUCCGUGCCAGCAGCCGCGGUAAUACGGAGGAUGCGAGCGUUAUUCGGAAUCAUUGGGUUUAAAGGGUCUGUAGGCGGGCUAUUAAGUCAGGGGUGAAAUAUUUCAGCUUAACUGGGAAAUUGCCUUUGAUACUGGUAGUCUUGAAUAUUUGUGAAGUUUUUGGAAUGUGUAGUGUAGCGGUGAAAUGCAUAGAUAUUACACAGAACACCGAUUGCGGAGGCAGGGGACUAACAAAUAAUUGACGCUGAGAGACGAGAGCGUGGGGAGCGAACAGGAUUAGAUACCCUGGUAGUCCACGCUGUAAACGAUGGAUACUAGCUGUUUGGUAGGAAUAUUGAGUGGCUAAGCGAAAGUGAUAAGUAUCCCACCUGGGGAGUACGCACGCAAGUGUGAAACUCAAAGGAAUUGACCGGGGCCCGCACAAGCGGUGGAGCAUGUGGUUUAAUUCGAUGAUACGCGACGAACCUUACCAAGGUUUAAAUGGUGACUGACGUACCUAGAG